rnacentral:tRNA from 1 species
CGGGGUGUGGCGCAGUGGUAGCGCGCGCGCAUGGGGUGCGUGAGGCCGCAGGUUCGAGUCCUGUCACCCCGA